UACGUAGGGGGCAAGCGUUGUCCGGAAUCAUUGGGCGUAAAGAGCGUGUAGGCGGCCAGAAAAGUCCGCUGUGAAAACUCGAGGCUCAACUUCGAGCUGUCGGUGGAAACUUUCUGGCUAGAGUCCGGAAGAGGAGAAUGGAAUUCCUGGUGUAGCGGUGAAAUGCGUAGAUAUCUGGAGGAACACCGGUGGCGAAGGCGGCAUCCUGGACCGAUACUGACGCUGAGGAGCGAAAGCCAGGGGAGCAAACGGG
rnacentral:rRNA from 1 species